AUGCAACACACGAACUUCAAGAAGAAGAAUGGCAAGAAGAAAGGUGCUUGUCAUGUGUGUGGAGAUCCUGAUCAUUGGGCUCCUAGUUGCCCUAAUCGCUAUGACAAGCGUCAUCCUAGAAAAGGCGGCAAGACCGCUAAUGUUGUCAUUGGAGACACUGACAUGAAGGAUGCUGGGUAUGGUAUAUUUCUCACUAUUCUUUCAGUAUGUCAUUCUCCUGACUGGUUGAUUGACACGGGUGCUAAUGUGCAUGUAUGCGGUAAUAUUUCCAUAUUUUCGUCUUAUCAGACCGCAGGGACUUCAACCGUGCUGAUGGGAAACGGUUCAAGUGCUUCUGUUCAUGGUGUUGGCACGGUCGAUCUGAAGUUUACUUCAGGGAAGAUCGUGCAGCUGAAGAACGUGCAUUAUGUCCCCUCCGUCAAUAAAAAUCUUGUUAGCGGAUCUCUUCUGUGUAGAGAUGGCUAG
rnacentral:rRNA from 1 species